rnacentral:rRNA from 1 species
GUCGAGCGAAGCACUUAAGUUUGAUUCUUCGGAUGAAGACUUUUGUGACUGAGCGGCGGACGGGUGAGUAACGCGUGGGUAACCUGCCUCAUACAGGGGGAUAACAGUUAGAAAUGACUGCUAAUACCGCAUAAGACCACGGUACCGCAUGGUACAGUGGUAAAAACUCCGGUGGUAUGAGAUGGACCCGCGUCUGAUUAGGUAGUUGGUGGGGUAACGGCCUACCAAGCCGACGAUCAGUAGCCGACCUGAGAGGGUGACCGGCCACAUUGGGACUGAGACACGGCCCAGACUCCUACGGGAGGCAGCAGUGGGGAAUAUUGCACAAUGGAGGAAACUCUGAUGCAGCGACGCCGCGUGAAGGAUGAAGUAUUUCGGUAUGUAAACUUCUAUCAGCAGGGAAGAAAAUGACGGUACCUGACUAAGAAGCCCCGGCUAACUACGUGCCAGCAGCCGCGGUAAUACGUAGGGGGCAAGCGUUAUCCGGAUUUACUGGGUGUAAAGGGAGCGUAGACGGCACGGCAAGCCAGAUGUGAAAGCCCGGGGCUCAACCCC